rnacentral:miRNA from 1 species
UCCAAAUAUAUUAUAAAGACG